AUUGAACGCUGGCGGCAUGCUUUACACAUGCAAGUCGAACGGCAGCGCGGGCUUCGGCCUGGCGGCGAGUGGCGAACGGGUGAGUAAUGCAUCGGAACGUGCCCAGUAGUGGGGGAUAGCCCGGCGAAAGCCGGAUUAAUACCGCAUACGACCUGAGGGUGAAAGCGGGGGACCGAAAGGCCUCGCGCUAUUGGAGCGGCCGAUGUCGGAUUAGCUAGUUGGUGGGGUAAAGGCUUACCAAGGCGACGAUCCGUAGCUGGUCUGAGAGGACGACCAGCCACACUGGGACUGAGACACGGCCCAGACUCCUACGGGAGGCAGCAGUGGGGAAUUUUGGACAAUAGGGGCAACCCUGAUCCAGCCAUGCCGCGUGCGGGAAGAAGGCCCUCGGGUUGUAAACCGCUUUUGUUCGGGAAGAAAUCCUCUGGGCUAAUACCCCGGGGGGGAUGACGGUACCGGAAGAAUAAGCACCGGCUAACUACGUG
rnacentral:rRNA from 1 species